rnacentral:rRNA from 2 species
GCCUGGCCCUAAAUCUUGAUGCUCGAUAUUACCUGAGCAUCCGCCCGAGAACUACGAGCACAAACGCUUAAAACUCUAAGGACUUGGCGGUGCUCCAAACCCACCUAGAGGAGCCUGUUCUGUAAUCGAUGAUCCACGAUAUUACCUGACCAUUCCUUGCACGAAACAGCCUAUAUACCGCCGUCGCCAGCCCACCUCCCCUGAUAGCCCAACAGUGGACGCAAUAGCCUAACCCGCUAGCAAGACAGGUCAAGGUAUAGCCCACGGAAUGGAAGCAAUGGGCUACAUUUUCUAAGCUAGAACAUACGGAUAAGGGUAUGAAACUGCCCUUGGAAGGCGGAUUUAGCAGUAAAGAGAGACAAUCGAGCUCUCUUUAAGCCGGCUCUGGAGCACGU